GCCGCUGUGGCUUAGAGGUAUAGCGAUUCCUUGGUAAGGAAUAGGUCGGGGGUCCAAUUCCCCCCAGCGGCU
rnacentral:tRNA from 1 species